rnacentral:tRNA from 1 species
GCCCCCAUAGUUCAAUGGAUAGAACAGUGGUUUCCUAAACCAUUGAUCCAGGUUCGAUUCCUGGUGGGGGUACCA